rnacentral:lncRNA from 1 species
GGAGGUCGGAGCCUGCAACAUCGGGUGGGGAGGGGGGGGCCGCGAAGCCUUUCCUAGGAAAGGACGCGUGUUAAGGUCUCGCUGUCUGGGACGAACGGGGGCGAUCGCGAUGGGAUCGCCCCUGUGGACUCGCUCGGGGAGGAGGAGGACGUCUCAGGGCCCGUCUCGGAGGGGGAGAACGGAUCCUGGAGACAUUCGUCCGUUGCGAUGGCAUCUCCCGUU